GGCAGUGUGGUGUAGUGGUUUGAGUGUUACACUACGACUCUGGAGAUCGGGGUUUGAUUCCCACUUUGGCCA